rnacentral:rRNA from 1 species
GUGCCAGCAGCCGCGGUAAUACGUAGGUGGCAAGCGUUGUCCGGAUUUACUGGGCGUAAAGAGCGCGCAGGCGGUCUUUUAAGUCGAAUGUGAAAGCCCCCGGCUUAACUGGGGAGGGUCAUUCGAUACUGAUCGACUUGAAGGCAGGAGAGAGAAGCAGAAUUCCCGGUGUAGUGGUGAAAUGCGUAGAUAUCGGGAGGAAUACCAGUGGCGAAGGCGGCUUCUUGGCCUGUUCUUGACGCUGAGGCGCGAAAGCUGGGGGAGCAAACGGGAUUAGAUACCCGCGUAGUCC